GACGUAGGGCGCGAGCGUUGUCCGGAUUUAUUGGGCGUAAAGAGCUCGUAGGCGGCUUGUUGCGUCGACCGUGAAAACCCGCGGCUUAACUGUGGGCUUGCGGUCGAUACGGGCGGGCUGGAGUUCGGUAGGGGAGACUGGAAUUCCUGGUGUAGCGGUGAAAUGCGCAGAUAUCAGGAGGAACACCAAUGGCGAAGGCAGCUCGCUGGGACGGUACUGACACUGAGACGCGAAAGCGUGGGGAGCAAACAGG
rnacentral:rRNA from 1 species